AGCAGAGCCGCCCAGCAGCAACCACAUUAGGAAGGAAUCGGAAACCAACGCUCCGCUGGCUGUCACCCCUUACCCACUUGCUGUCAGACCACAGCCUGAGGCAGCCAAACCCAUUUCCUUGGGGAUCCAGCGCAAACCAGAGAGUGUGGACAGGCCGAUGGAAGAAUGUUGGACCAGCUUUAAGAAUGGGCUGUUCUAAGUCAUGAAUAUUGUAGGAAGCAGCUCUAAGGACCACAGGGCUGGAGGGUGCACAGGAAGGGGCCAGUGCAUACAGGUGUCCAAACAGUGUCAUCCGGUGUCCUGACAUGCGGCCCCAAUGGACUGAUCCAGGGUGGAAAGGAAGAGUGAGAAGAAAUCAGACAGAAGAAUUCAGGAGAUGUGGCAACAGAGUGGAUGUAGCAGAAGGGACAUAGAGAGUGCCUAAAGAUGAGUCUUUGGUCAGCAUGUGAUGAAAAGAAUGAAGACACUGGGGAAGUGGGGAGCAGAAGCGGAUGUGGGCCCAGGAGGAAGAAGAUUCCAGAGAGCAGAGAUGGCAAAAAGAUGCAUGGAAGAGAGACACAGCAGGGUCGGGUUCUGGCCUCAGGAGCCAAGGGGGAAGUGCCUGAGGAGACCCCCAAAUGAGGCCUGUGUCAAUGAGGUCUUUAGGGGACUGGUUUCCAUGUAUGCCAGGCCAUACUCCCUGGAUUCCCAGCAUUGAGAAGACCAAACACUUCUACACAUUUAUUACUGAAGCCCCCUGCAAGCUGAAGGCGGAGGAAGUGGCCAAUCUCCUAAGCCGUGUGUGGCUGAGGCAGUUGUCAGAGCUGUGAUGAGGGAAAUGCUCAUUAUUCUUCUAUCCCUCACUUGGCCAAAUAAAGAACUUCUUAGAAUUCUUCCCCUGUGACAAAACGGGGCUGUGAUUUGGAAAGCCUCAGGCAAGUUUGCUAGGGCCGCGGUAACCAAGCACCACAGACUGGGUGGCUUCAAAACUGGACGGCUUCAACAGAAAGUUAUUGUUGCUCAGUUCUGGAAGCCAGAAGUCCAAAAUCAAGGUACUUGCAGGGUCAGUUCGAUCUGAGGGCUGCGAGGGAAGGAUCUGUUGUAGACCUCUCUCCUAGGUUUGCAGGCAUUGGUCCUGAUGUUCACAGGGCAUCCUUCCUGUGCCUUCACAUCAUCUUCUCUCUGAAUGUAUCUCUGGGUCCAAAUUUCCCUAUUUUAAAAUAAGGAAAUCAGUCCUAUUGGGUUAGCACCCCGCCCCUCACUUUAACUUGAUUACCUCUGUAAAGACCCUACCUCCAAAUAAGAUCACAUUCUGCGUACUGAGGGCUAGGACCUCAACAUCUGAAUUCAGGGUGGGUGGAUGCACAAUUCAUUCCAUAACAUUAAGAAGGAAGGGAUAAGUGCCCAAGGAAUCACAUGCUCGCUUGGGGAGAGUUCCAAGCGUGCAGAGCUGGUGGUCAUAGCCUAGCCUCAGGCCUUCGGAAAUCCCCUGAAUCUGGUUUUCCCAGUUCUCAUAAUCUCAUUUCACCAAAAUACGGCAUCUCAAUACAUUCCAUGCAUUUCUGGUGACAAGCUCAUUCUGGUGCACGCUAAGCAAUGUGCUAACUACGUCUUAACUAGGGUGGUUUAACUGGUUUGGUUAACAUAGAUCUCUGAGUCAUUUCACGCAUUCCUUAAGCCUAAACAAAUCUCAUCCAGGUGUUUAAGACAUUGCACAAUAUUAGACCAUCUGAAGCUCCAUCUCCUUGGGGCAAUGAUGAUGAUGGUGAUGAAAGUGGCUGGUGACUGUUCUCAGUCUCAUCGCCAUAAUGGAACCCUACGUUGUGUUCCUCCACACUGGUGUGAGGGACACUACUAAGUGCGGCAGAGUUUGCACUCAGGAUAGAGAAAUAUGGACUCACGCACAGAUUCCAGCUGAGUCCCUCCGAUGUGCUAGGUACUAUGUCCAGCCCCCCAGGAUUCACCUGUAAGCAGGACAGUCUUUUGGAUGACAGAGGGAAUUCUCAUAUAUCCACAGGCAGAUGGAAUUUACAAGUGGAAAGACCUAGAAGUUCAGAGACAGGGGGACUGAACUUUUUGCUUUCAGUCAGAAUCUUUGCUUACGGUUGUGCAAAUGCUUGCAUUGGUGGGUUUCCAUGCCAUAUAACGUGCUACAUAUUUUUACGUUACCCUUGCACAUAAGCAUACUGUUGGGAGGGAAAAUGAAGAGGGUGGAGGUGGUAACAAACUCAAGCUAAGGAAAUGGAAUUUGGAUGGGUACAAAGUCCAGAGAAUUAGCUUGAGGAAAAUGAACCAGGAUUCACACAGGAGUUUUCAAACAUCUCAAUAUCAGGACCCCUUUACCCUCUUAAAACUUACUUCGUGAGGACCUUAAAGAGCUUUUGUUUGUGUGACUUAUAUGUAUUAAUAUUUACUAUAUUAGAAAUUAAAAGUAAGGAAUGGUUGU
rnacentral:lncRNA from 1 species